rnacentral:misc_RNA from 1 species
GAAAUGCGAUAAGUAAUGUGAAUUGCAGAAUUCAGUGAAUCAUCGAAUCUUUGAACGCACCUUGCGCUCCUUGGUAUUCCUUGGAGCAUGCCUGUCCGAGCGUCAUUGCUGCCCUUCAAGCCCGGCUUGUGUGUUGGGUCGUCGUCCCCUCCGGGGGACGGGCCCGAAAGGCAGCGGCGGCACCGCGUCCGGUCCUCGAGCGUAUGGGGCUUUGUCACCCGCUCGAUAAGGACCGGCCGGGCGCCAGCCGGCGUCUCCAACCUUUUUUUCUCAGGUUGACCUCGGAUCAGGUAGGGAUACCCGCUGAACUUAAGC